AGAGUUUGAUCAUGGCUCAGGGUGAACGCUGGCGGCGUGCCUUACACAUGCAAGUCGAGCGAAGCUGCUAACUGGAGUCCUUUGGGAUGAAAGUUAGUAGACUGAGCGGCGGACGGGUGAGUAACGCGUAGGUGACCUACCCUUCAGAGGGGGAUAACUGUGGGAAACUGCAGCUAAUACCCCAUACGUUCCGGAGGUUACGAUUUCCGGAAGAAAGGGGCGUAAAGCUCUGCUGAGGGAUGGGCCUGCGUUCCAUCAGGUAGUUGGUGAGGUAAAGGCUCACCAAGCCGACGACGGAUAGCCGGUCUGAGAGGAUGGCCGGCCACAAGGGCACUGAGACACGGGUCCUACUCCUACGGGAGGCAGCAGUGGGGGAUAUUGGACAAUGGGCGGAAGCCUGAUCCAGCGACGCCKYKUGNCGGGAAGGAGCCCUUCGGGGUGUAAACCGCUGUGGUGGGAGACGAAUAAGGUAAGGAGUGGAAAGUCUUACCGAUGACGGUAUCCCACUAGGAAGCCCCGGCUAACUACGUGCCAGCAGCCGCGGUAAUACGUAGGGGGCGAGCGUUACCCGGAUUUACUGGGCGUAAAGGGGGCGUAGGCGGUCGUGGAAGUCCGGUGUGAAAGGCCACGGCUCAACUGUGGAACUGCGCUGGAAACCACGCGACUUGAGGGCGGUAGAGGGAGACNGAACUGCUGGUGUAGGGGUGAAAUCCGUAGAUAUCAGCARGAACGCCGGUGGGGAAGCCGGUCUCCUGGGCCGCGCCUGACGCUGAGGCCCGAAAGCUAGGGGAGCGAACCGGAUUARAUACCCGGGUAGUCCUAGCCGUAAACGAUGCCCACUAGGUGUGGGGGAGUGAUUCCUCCGUGCUGAAGCGAACGCGAUAAGUGGGCCGCCUGGGGAGUAUGCCCSCAAGGGUGAAACUCAAAGGAAUUGACGGGACCCCGCACAAGCGGUGGAGCGUGUGGUUUAAUUGGACGCURAGCCAAGAACCUUACCAGGGCUUGACAUGCUGGUGGUACUGACCCGAAAGGGGAGGGACUCUCGCCGAGAGGU
rnacentral:rRNA from 1 species